rnacentral:lncRNA from 10 species
GUGACAGAGCAGCCACUGUGCAACCAGGAGGAACAAAGGUACACGCUGAGGACACAAUGUGAGAAGACAAGAGAGCUGGUCACAGCAUGGGAUCAAAGAAAAAAUAAGAUCAAAUCCUACUCGCCUAAGCCACUGUGGCCAGGGCUUCUGUUACUUGCAGCCAAACACAAUCCUAAAUAAUAAGAAAAGAGAAGUACAUGGCAGAGUGCCUGGCCCAAAGUAAGUAGGAAAUAAAUGUGUGUUGAAAGAAUAAAUGAAUAAAUGGAAUAAAGUUGAUAUUUUUAAUGCAAAUAAGUAAAAACAAUUAAAAUGUGAAAAAGGGAAGAAGGUGUGCCCAGGCAGGUGCUGGAUGACAAGAACAGAGACCAAAAAAGAUGCACUGAUCCUGGGGAUGAUGAUUUGAGUUCAAUCUGUAUUUGCUGAAAGCCCAUCAUGUGCCAGAAGACAGAGACACAAAGAGAUGUCCUGACAGAGAGGACGGCUGGCCAGACACUUUGGCGACACACAGGACCGGCUAGGUCAUAUGCGGGGCAACGAUGGGAUGAUUUAGAGCAUCCAAACAACUAAUGACUCAAUGGGUUGAAACCCAUCAAAUAUACUAAAAAUGGAGUAGAGAAACUGGCAGUAGCUGCUGGGUGGGUGGGAGGGAGAUGGACUGGUCAAUGGUGGAUGGAAAGACACUUUGCAGCCAAUGCUCACUGGAGCAUUCAUUCACCCAGGUGACAGUUAGGAGCCCCCGCCAGGUGCUGGGUUCUAUGCCGAGCAUUUGA